GUCCUAGCCUUAAACGAUGAGCACUAGAUCGAAGGGACCUCCACAUCCUUUUGGUCGUAGGGAAACUGUUAAGUGCUCCGCCUGGGGAGUAUGGUAGCAAGGCUGAAACUCAAAGGAAUUGACGGGGGCUCACACAAGCGGUGGAGGAUGUGGCUUAAUUCGAGGCUACGCGAAGAACCUUAUCCUAGUCUUGACAUGCUUAGGAACCCGAUCGAAACGUCGGGGUGCCCGCAAGGGAGCCUUUGCACAGGUGCUGCAUGGCUGUCGU
rnacentral:rRNA from 1 species